GACGGAGGGGGCUAGCGUUGUUCGGAAUUACUGGGCGUAAAGAGCACGUAGGUGGUUUGGUAAGUCGGAUGUGAAAGCCCCGGGCUUAACCUGGGAAUUGCAUUCGAAACUGCCUCACUAGAGUCUAGCAGAGGGAUGCGGAAUUCCGGGUGUAGCGGUGAAAUGCGUAGAGAUCCGGAGGAACAUCAGUGGCGAAGGCGGCAUCCUGGGCUAAGACUGACACUGAAGUGCGAAAGGCU
rnacentral:rRNA from 1 species